AUUGAACGCUGGCGGCAGGCCUAACACAUGCAAGUCGAGCGGAUGAAGGGAGCUUGCUCCUGGAUUCAGCGGCGGACGGGUGAGUAAUGCCUAGGAAUCUGCCUGGUAGUGGGGGAUAACGUCCGGAAACGGGCGCUAAUACCGCAUACGUCCUGAGGGAGAAAGUGGGGGAUCUUCGGACCUCACGCUAUCAGAUGAGCCUAGGUCGGAUUAGCUAGUUGGUGGGGUAAAGGCCUACCAAGGCGACGAUCCGUAACUGGUCUGAGAGGAUGAUCAGUCACCCUGGCACUGAGACACGGUCCAGACUCCUACGGGAGGCAGCAGUGGGGAAUAUUGGACAAUGGGCGAAAGCCUGAUCCAGCCAUGCCGCGUGUGUGAAGAAGGUCUGCGGAUUGUAAAGCACUUUAAGUUGGGAGGAAGGGCAGUAAGUUAAUACCUUGCUGUUUUGACGUUACCAACAGAAUAAGCACCGGCUAACUUCGUG
rnacentral:rRNA from 1 species